UCAGAACGAACGCUGGCGGCGUGCUUAACACAUGCAAGUCGAACGCGAAAGGGGACUCGGUCCUGAGUAAAGUGGCGCACGGGUGAGUAACGCGUAGAUAACCUGUCUUCACGUCUGGAAUAAUACGCCGAAAGGGGUACUAAUACCGGAUAUUCUUGCUUUUCAUAAGUUAUGCAAGCAAAGGUGGCCUCUGCAUAUGCUACUGCAUGAAGAGGGGUCUGCGUACCAUUAGCUAGUAGGUGGGGUAAUGGCCUACCUAGGCGACGAUGGUUAGCGGGUCUGAGAGGAUGAUCCGCCACACUGGCACUGGAACACGGGCCAGACUCCUACGGGAGGCAGCAGUGAGGAAUAUUGCGCAAUGGGGGAAACCCUGACGCAGCGACGCCGCGUGAGUGAGGAAGGCCUUCGGGUCGUAAAGCUCUGUCAAGAGGAAAGAAGUGUACAAUGGCUAAUACCUGUUGUAUUUGACGGUACCUCUAAAGGAAGCACCGGCUAACUCCGUGCCAGCCGCCGC
rnacentral:rRNA from 1 species